CCUUUACCGGCGUGCCUUCCCCAGGGCCGCAUCAGCAGCCGCGCCGUCGGCACCCCCUCGCGGGAGCAGUGAGUGCUGGUGGGAAGCGGCGCGGGUGAGCCGCAGGGGCCGGUGGCCGCGUCGCCAUUUCGUGCCGCUCGGGCUCGGGGCUGCGCCGGGCGCCCCGGCGGCGGCUGACGGCGAGCGGAGCCGCCCGGCGGGGCGGGGGAGCCAGCGGCUGCCCGUGCAGGGCGGCGGGUGGCGGCCUGGGGUGUUGCUCCCCGGCAGGGCAGGACCGGUUUCAGAACAUGAAAGAAAAUGCAAUUAAAUGCAUUAUUACAGUAAGAUUAAACACUGUCUUUCUUCCCAGACCUCAAGUCUGCUCUCAUUAGUUUCGUAAAUGAAGCAACAAGUCUGUGCAAAGCACCACUGUAAUCACAGGCACUGCAAUAUCUGACUGCCCUUGCCACAAGAUCAAAAAAACCCCAACCCCUCGUAUGCGUCUGUUCUGAUUGUGGAAGCAAAAUGCUUGUGCCUGCUCUUCCAGACAGGCUUUGGAAAGUUACGUUACUGUGUUUCAUGACAGCGAGGAUGUUACUUAGUGGGAUCUGCCAUAGUACUCUGAAAAUCAGAUUGUAGCAGGGGCCUGGGAAUACUUUUCGCCUCCAGCCUUCACAAACAUGAAUCAACCAACACUCACAUGAUCCUCUUUUUCAGCUCUUACUCCUCACUGCACCAUCUUUCCUCUAUGAAACAACCUUUUUUUAUAACUAUGUAAGACAGACACACCAUGUAGUUUUUAUUUUAUAAUUGUUAUUCAAAAUGAGUAUCAUUAAGUAGCAUCAAAAAUGCCUGCACUAUUUAUCAUACCCUGCAGUGACAUUUUGCUCAGCAGUUUUAAGCUUUCCUUUCUGUGGUCUGGCUCUGUCCCGUGUAGCUCUGAGUUCCCACAACUCAUCCAUUAAAUUGAGCAAGAAAAAAAUAGCUGAGCAGCAUGUAGCAACUCUGGCAGAACUGCUGGUUCAUUUGGCUGAGAUGCCUUAGGAAAAGAAAACAGUGAGUCACUACUAUUGACUAUAACCCGUCCCUCUAGUGUCUUGUCAAAUGUUGGCAACAUGAAACUAGGAUUUUUCUCCUAGGCCACCAACCUUCUGGGGCAUUUGUAGUCAGCAAGGACUUCAUGUGUUACCACCAAAUGAAAACCUCCUCAUCCAAAUAAGCCCGUGUAAUGAUUUAACUUAUCAAAACCAACAAUGAUCAUCCCUUUGAGAGCCAUUAUUUUACAUCAAUCAUAGCAAUAAAAGAGCUGCCACAUGCAAUGGCUAUAUGUUCUUAUGAGCUUACCCACAUAAUUGCUGUUAAUGAACUUGUUUUAUGAACUUUCUGAGCACUUAUCCCAAACACCAGACCUACAUGAUUUUCUUCACCCUGUUCCUCCUCCAUUAAAAGUGCAAAUGCCAGUGAAGCUGAUGCAGCAGCUCAGCACAGAAAUCCUACAACAUCAAAUAAAAUAAAAAUUCAGUCAAGUUCAUUUUAAUGGUUGUAUAUAGUCUUUGUUAAUACAUAAAUUCCUAAGUGUUUAUUCAGUGUUUUGUCAUAUAGUAAUACAGAAAGAUUGCCAGUUUUAUCAGUGCUGAUGGUUUGUAAUAUAACGUAAAGAGGUUUAAAGUCCCUCUUACUUCCUCAUGUUAUUGCUCAAUAGAUUUGCUAAUGUAAUAAAAUUAUUUUUUGUAUUAGUAAGUCUGUUUUGACUAUUCUUUUGUCUAGGAGUUGUCUGCCACACCCAUUCUUGCUUUCUAGUAUGUGGGAGUACGUUAGGAAUGUUGAUCCUUGUGCAUUUAUCACCUCAGCAGCACUCUGGAGAAAUCUGUAUUUGUUAAGAUAACCUGGUAAAACUUCUGGACACAACAUUCAGCUGAGAAUAAUAGCAGGCAUAGGAAGAAUAGGUGUUUCCCGCCAGCUAUGAGCUUUUUACUGCGUUGUCAAGAAAGUAGAGAACGUUCAACCAGACUGAGUGUUUGCAGGCUCUCCCAGGGAGUGGCGGAGAGCAGCAGAGAGCGCAAAAUGAACACUAAACUAAUCAUAGAAAAGUGUGAAUUAUGCAUUUCCAUUCUUUAAUAAAAAACCCUCUUGUCUGAAGAAAUGAAGGAAUUAAUAAACUGCAGAUGUGAAACCAACUAUUAAGAAGACCUGCUUAUGUGCAGCAUUGAGUAGAUACCAUUUUCCAAAAGCAGCUGUUUCACGUUUUAAGUGAAGGCCAAAAGGACCAUUAUAUUAUCCAGCCGAAGGCUAUCCACCAAGCAGUCUGUGACCUAGACACAACUUGCUGGAGAUUCCUGUCUGGCUCCCCAAAUGGUUUUGAAAGCUUUUCAGUGUACUCGUACACGCCCAGAUGUAUAUCCUCACCACACUGUCCCUCAUUAUGGCUGAGUGAUUGACCCAAAGAGGUGCAGAAUCCUGAUAACUAUAAUGGGGCCUUUUCUAGCUUCUCUUAUAAAAAAAGUCUUACAAAAUCAGCUGCUCAUUCCUGUAGUGAUAUCAAUCAUUUGUAAGAAAUCUUUUCUGUAUGAGAAGGCUCAACAUGUCUCCAUUGUGCAAUGGCUUGUACAGUCAUGCCUAGAGGAAGCCAGAUGUAUGCUAUUAUGCAAGAGAAAAACAUUUCUACAGAGCCCCUUUGAUUGGUAUACACAGUGAAACAAUACCAGUGACUGUUUAACUUUUUUUAAAGAAAAAUUAAGGUGGGAUGUGCUUCAGCCAGUGUGACAGAGAACCAUUCUAUUAAUUCUCCUCAUCCUGUUACUAUUUCAAGAGAGAAGGAGAGAUGUAAGAAGUUAAUGACAGUGAAGAUGAUAAUGAUAAUUAUAAAAUGCAAUGCUUAAAAACUGUCACAUGCUGAACUCUGAAUUGUUUGAUGUUAAAAAUCCUUAAAUGGUACAUCUGUGAGGCAAAGAUAUCAGCUUGUUCCUUGGUUAUCUUUAAGUUUUUGGAGGAAAUGAACAGCCAGUACAGGGUGUGCAUUUAUGUUUACUCAGUAUUUUCUGCUGCCUUACAAACUCCAGGCCAAGUCUGAUACACUGUGGCAUAGCAAAAACUAGCUGACUAGUGAAAUCAGUGAGAUCAGUGUUUGGUGAAUGCUGCAAGAGAGGAGUAUUAAAAUCUAGCCUUUUUAUCCAAAUAUUUUCUUUUAAAUUAUUCUAAUUUUCUGGUAGAAGAAAAAAGUCUAAGAACUUAAGUGCUUAUAAGUUUCAAAACACCUAUUGAUUUGGAUUCUGUAGAGUUAUGAAAAGCAUGCCUAAAAUAAUUGUGCAAUGACUUAGUGCUUGAAUAAAAGUAAGUGUUAAGUA